rnacentral:rRNA from 1 species
UACAGAGGUCCCAAGCGUUGUUCGGAUUCACUGGGCGUAAAGGGCGCGUAGGCGGUCAGCACAAGUCAGUUGUGAAAUCUCCGAGCUUAACUCGGAAAGGUCAACUGAUACUGUGCGACUAGAGUGCGGAAGGGGCAACUGGAAUUCUUGGUGUAGCGGUGAAAUGCGUAGAUAUCAAGAGGAACACCUGCGGCGAAGGCGGGUUGCUGGGCCGACACUGACGCUGAUGCGCGAAAGCUAGGGGAGCGAACGGG